UACGUAGGGUGCGAGCGUUAAUCGGAAUUACUGGGCGUAAAGUGUGCGCAGGCGGCCGCGCAAGUCGAGUGUGAAAGCCCCGAGCUUAACUUGGGAAUUGCGCUCGAAACUACGUGGCUGGAGUGUGGCAGAGGAAGGUGGAAUUCCAGGUGUAGCGGUGAAAUGCGUAGAGAUCUGGAGGAACACCGAUGGCGAAGGCAGCCUUCUGGGCCAACACUGACGCUCAUGCACGAAAGCGUGGGUAGCAAACAGG
rnacentral:rRNA from 1 species